GAGGGUUUAGCUCAGGGUUAGAGUGCAUGUUUAGCAUGCAUGAGGUCCAGGGUUUAAUCCCCAGUACCUCCU
rnacentral:tRNA from 1 species